rnacentral:rRNA from 1 species
GCAGCGGAGGACCGAACCAGUUCAUGUUGAAAAAUGUUUGGAUGAGCUGUGGAUAGGGGUGAAAGGCCAAUCAAACUCAGUGAUAGCUGGUUCUCUUCGAAAUAGCUUUAGGGCUAGCCUUGCGUAAAUAGUUUGUGGGGGUAGAGCUACUGAUUGUUCGCGGGCCCUUACCGGGGUACCAAGAACUAUUAAACUCCGAAUACCAUGAACCGUACCGCAGGAGUCAGACUAUGGGGGAUAAGCUUCAUGGUCGAGAGGGAGACAGCCCAGACCGCCGGCUAAGGUCCCCAAUCCGGACUUAGUGGUUUGAAGGAUGUGAUGUUGCAUAAACAGCCAGGAUGUUGGCUUAGAGGCAGCCAUCAUUUAAAGAGUGCGUAAUAGCUCACUGGUCGAGUGAUAUCGCGCCGAAGAUGAUCGGGACUGAAGUCCAGAACCGAAGCCGCGGAUCGUGAAUUUAUUCACGGUGGUAGAAGAGCGUUGUAUGCGGGUCGAAGCCGAAGAGGGAUCUGAGGUGGACUGCAUACAAGUGACCAUGCAGGCAUGAGUAGCGAAAAACCGGAUGAGAAUUCCGGUCACCGAAAACCUAAGGUUUCCCGGGGAAGGUUCGUCCGCCCUGGGUUAGUCGGGACCUAAGGCGAGGCCGAAAGGCGUAGUCGAUGGAGGACAGGUUAAUAUUCCUGUACCACCUUGUUGGAGUGAUGGAGGGACGCAGUAAGUCAGGUGAGCCAACUGCUGAAUAUGUUGGUCGAAGGCCGUAGGGCGCACGAUAGGCAAAUCCGUCGUGCUUUCAACCCGAGAGUCGUAAGGUAGCCGAACGCAAGUUUGGCGAAUUCACUGUGACGACGCUGACGAGAAAAGCUUCUAAACGUUGAAAACAGGGUGCCCGUACCGAAACCGACACAGGUAGGUGAGGCGAGUAGCCUAAGGUGCGCGAGAGAAACCAACGUUAAGGAACUCGGCAAAUUGACCCCGUAACUUAGGGAUAAGGGGUGCCGCUUCAGGUGAAGGGACUUGCUCCCGGAGCCCGGAGCGGUUGCAACAAAGAGGCUGGUGCGACUGUUUAACAAAAACACAGCUCUAUGCUAACUCGCAAGAGGAUGUAUAUGGAGUGACACGUGACCAAUGCCAAAAGGUCAAUGGGAGAGGUUAGCGCAAGCGAAGCUUCGAUCUGAAGCCCUGGUGAAUGUCGGCCGUAACUAUAACGGUCCUAAGGUAGCGAAAUUCCUUGUCGGGUAAGUUCC